rnacentral:rRNA from 1 species
UACGUAGGGUGCAAGCGUUGUCCGGAAUUAUUGGGCGUAAAGAGCUCGUAGGCGGUCUGUUGCGUCGGCUGUGAAAACCCGGGGCUCAACCCCGGGCCUGCAGCCGAUACGGGCAGACUAGAGUUCGGCAGGGGAGACUGGAAUUCCUGGUGUAGCGGUGAAAUGCGCAGAUAUCAGGAGGAACACCGGUGGCGAAGGCGGGUCUCUGGGCCGAUACUGAUGCUGAGGAGCGAAAGCGUGGGGAGCGAACAGG